rnacentral:rRNA from 1 species
AUUGAACGCUGGCGGCAGGCCUAACACAUGCAAGUCGAGCGGAGCGGCGUACGGGUGAGUAAUGCCUAGUAAUCUGCCUGUUAGUGGGGUAUAACUUACGGAGACGGGCCCUUAUCCCGCAUACUUUCAGAUGCGCCUCGGUCGGAUUAGCUAGUGGGUGGGGUAAUGGCUUACCAAGUCGACGAUCCGUAACUGGACUGAGAGGAUGAUCAGUCACACUGGAACUGAGACACGGUCCAGACUCCUACGGGAGGCAGCAGUGGGGAAUAUUGGACAAUGGGCGAAAGACUGAGCCAGCAAUGCCGCGUGUGUGAAGAAGGUCUUCGGAUUGUAAAGCACUUUAAGUUGGGAGGCGGUAUCAACAGAAGAAGCACCGGCUAACUUCGUGCCAGCAGCCGCGGUAAUUC